rnacentral:rRNA from 1 species
UACGUAGGGUGCGAGCGUUGUCCGGAAUUAUUGGGCGUAAAGGGCUCGUAGGCGGUUUGUCGCGUCGGGAGUGAAAACCCAGGGCUUAGCUCUGGGCUGGCUUUCGAUACGGGCAGACUAGAGGUAUGCAGGGGAGAACGGAAUUCCUGGUGUAGCGGUGAAAUGCGCAGAUAUCAGGAGGAACACCGGUGGCGAAGGCGGUUCUCUGGGCAUUACCUGACGCUGAGGAGCGAAAGUGUGGGGAGCGAACAGG